rnacentral:rRNA from 1 species
CAGUAGCCGCGGUAAUACAGAGGGUGCGAGCGUUAAUCGGAUUUACUGGGCGUAAAGCGUGCGUAGGCGGCUUCUUAAGUCGGAUGUGAAAUCCCUGAGCUUAACUUAGGAAUUGCAUUCGAUACUGGGAAGCUAGAGUAUGGGAGAGGAUGGUAGAAUUCCAGGUGUAGCGGUGAAAUGCGUAGAGAUCUGGAGGAAUACCGAUGGCGAAGGCAGCCAUCUGGCCUAAUACUGACGCUGAGGUACGAAAGCAUGGGGAGCAAACAGGAUUAGAUACCCGAGUAGUCCCUGUCUCUUAUAU